rnacentral:rRNA from 1 species
UGAGGAAUAUUGGACAAUGGGUGAGAGCCUGAUCCAGCCAUCCCGCGUGCAGGAAGACGGCCUUAUGGGUUGUAAACUGCUUUUAUACAGGAAUAAACCACCUUACGAGUAGGGUGUUGAAGGUACUGUAUGAAUAAGCACCGGCUAACUCCGUG